GGCCCGUUAGCUCAGUUGGUUAGAGUGUCGUGCUAAUAACGCGAAGGUCGUGGGUUCGAUCCCACGGGCCA
rnacentral:tRNA from 1 species